CCUACGGGAGGCAGCAGUAAGGAAUAUUGGUCAAUGGAGGCAACUCUGAACCAGCCAUGCCGCGUGCAGGAAGACUGCCCUAUGGGUUGUAAACUGCUUUUAUACGGGAAUAAACCUUGAUUCGUGAAUCGAGCUGAAUGUACCGUAAGAAUAAGGAUCGGCUAACUCCGUGCCAGCAGCCGCGGUAAUACGGAGGAUCCAAGCGUUAUCCGGAUUUAUUGGGUUUAAAGGGAGCGUAGGCGGCCUAUUAAGUCAGGGGUGAAAGACGGUGGCUCAACCAUCGCAGUGCCUUUGAUACUGGUAGGCUUGAAUGUAGUUGAGGUAGGCGGAAUGUGACAAGUAGCGGUGAAAUGCAUAGAUAUGUCACAGAACACCGAUUGCGAAGGCAGCUUACUAAGCUAUGAUUGACGCUGAGGCUCGAAAGCGUGGGGAUCAAACAGGAUUAGAUACCCUGGUAGUCCACGCCCUAAACGAUAGAUAACUCGAUGUUGGCGAUAUACAGUCAGCGUCCAAGCGAAAGCGUAAGUUAUCCACCUGGGGAGUACGCCCGCAAGGGUGAAACUCAAAGAUUGAGCGNGAGAGNGCGAGACGACGACGAGGGAGAGG
rnacentral:rRNA from 1 species